CCUACGGGGGGCAGCAGUGGGGAAUAUUGGACAAUGGGGGCAACCCUGAUCCAGCCAUGCCGCGUGUGUGAAGAAGGCCCUCGGGUUGUAAAGCACUUUCAGUGAGGAAGAACGCCUGGUGGUUAAUACCCAUCAGGAAAGACAUCACUCACAGAAGAAGCACCGGCUAACUCCGUGCCAGCAGCCGCGGUAAUACGGAGGGUGCGAGCGUUAAUCGGAAUUACUGGGCGUAAAGCGCGCGUAGGUGGCUUGAUAAGCCGGUUGUGAAAGCCCCGGGCUCAACCUGGGAACGGCAUCCGGAACUGUCAAGCUAGAGUGCAGGAGAGGAAGGUAGAAUUCCCGGUGUAGCGGUGAAAUGCGUAGAGAUCGGGAGGAAUACCAGUGGCGAAGGCGGCCUUCUGGACUGACACUGACGCUGAGGUGCGAAAGCGUGGGUAGCAAACAGGAUUAGAUACCCGAGUAGUC
rnacentral:rRNA from 1 species